AUUGAACGCUGGCGGCAGGCCUAACACAUGCAAGUCGAACGAGUGGCGGACGGGGGAGUAAUGUCUGGGAAACUGCCCGAUGGAGGGGGAUAAAACCUGGAAACGGUAGCUAAUACCGCAUAACAUAGGAUGUGACCAGAUGGGAUUAGCUGGUAGUUGAGGUAACGGCUCACCUAGUCGACGAUCCCUAGCUGGUCUGAGAGGAUGAACAGCCACACGUGAACUGAGACACGGUCCAGACUCCUACGUGAGGCAGCGGUGGGGAAUAUUGCACAAUGGGCGCAAGCCUGAUGCAGCCAUGCCGCGUGUGUGAAGAAGGUCUUCGGAUUGUAAAGCACUUUAAGUUGGGAGGCGUUACCAACAGAAUAAGCACCGGCUAACUUCGUGCCAGCCGCCGCGGUAAUAC
rnacentral:rRNA from 1 species